rnacentral:rRNA from 1 species
AUACGGAGGGUGCAAGCGUUACUCGGAAUCACUGGGCGUAAAGCGCGCGCAGGCGGCUAUUUAAGUUGGAUGUGAAAGCCUAUGGCUCAACCAUAGAACUGCAUCCAAAACUAUUUAGCUAGAGUGUGGGAGAGGAAGAUGGAAUUAGUUGUGUAGGGGUAAAAUCCGUAGAGAUAACUAGGAAUACCAAAAGCGAAGGCAAUCUUCUGGAACACUACUGACGCUGAGGCGCGAAAGCGUGGGGAGCAAACAGAAUUAGAAACCCUAGUAGUCC